rnacentral:tRNA from 3 species
AUUUAAAUAGCUUAAAAAUAAAAGUUUAACAUUGAAGAUGUUAUGAUGAUUUAAUAAAAAUCUUUAAAUA